GACGAACGCUGGCGGCGUGCUUAACACAUGCAAGUCGAACGGAAAGGCCCUGCUUUUGUGGGGUGCUCGAGUGGCGAACGGGUGAGUAACACGUGAGUAACCUGCCCUUGACUUUGGGAUAACUUCAGGAAACUGGGGCUAAUACCGGAUAGGAGCUCCUGCUGCAUGGUGGGGGUUGGAAAGUUUCGGCGGUUGGGGAUGGACUCGCGGCUUAUCAGCUUGUUGGUGGGGUAGUGGCUUACCAAGGCUUUGACGGGUAGCCGGCCUGAGAGGGUGACCGGGCACAGUGGAGUGGGGAGAGGGCCCAGAGGCGUGGGGGAGGCGGGCGGGGGAGAGAUGGCAAGGGGGGGGGGAGGGAGGCGCCGCCGGGCGGUGGGGGGGGUGCGUGGCUGCGGGUUGGACACCGGUGUCGCGGGAGAGGGGGGGGGGGGGAGGGGAAGGGGAAAAGAAACACGGGGAAACUACGGGCGGGCAGACGCGAUAAUAGUGGGAAGAACAAGCGUCUGAAC
rnacentral:rRNA from 1 species